CAUCUACGCGUACGGGUGUUGAGAGACAUCGCCCGGAGAUGGAUUCUGAGACACGAAUCCAGACCCUACGGGGUGCAGCAGGCGCGAAAACUUGGCAAUGCGAGCAAUCGUGACCAGGGAACUCCAAGUGCAUCGGGUAAGACCGAUGCUUUUCUUGACUCUUCAAAGGUCUUGGAAUAAGGGGUGGGUAAGGACGGUGCCAGCCGCCGCGGUAAUACCGGCGCCUCAAGUGGUAGUCGCUUUUAUUGGGCCUAAAACGUCCGUAGCCGGUUUGGUACAUUCGUGGGUAAAUCAAGACGCUCAACGUCUUGAAUUCUGCGAGCACGGCCAGACUUGGGACCGGGUGAGGUGUGGGGUACUCUCAGGGUAGGGGUAAAAUCCUGUCAUCCUGAGAGGACCACCUGUUGCGAAGGCGCCACACUAGAACGG
rnacentral:rRNA from 1 species